GUGGCCUAGCCAGGAUAGGGCAUCGGCCUCCUAAGCCGAGGGUCGGGGGUUCAACUCCCC
rnacentral:tRNA from 1 species